UCAAGUGAUUAAGAACAUUUCAGGAAACACAUACUCAAAUUCAAACAAAGCUAUUCAUCUUAACUUCAAAGAAUUCAUUGGCCAGGAAGGGGGCCAAAGCUAAAUGCUCACUUUCUAGCUUAGACUUUUGUGUGUGUAGAGAGAGAGAGAGAGAGAGAGGUGCAAAGAAGUCGGCCUACAAUUUCAGUUACUGUCCACACGACUCUGCAAUUGUAUCCUUUCCUUAGAAAGGAUCUAAGAGUCAGAAGACAAUAAUACCACAACGUAGCAUCAAUAUUCUUGCUCCUAUAACGAAUACAACAGUAAGAUCAUGCAUGGAUAAAAGAAGGAUACCAAUUUGAUACCUAUGGAUGUCAAAAUCAGGAUGCCCAAGCCGACCACCUCUUCCAAAUCCCCAAGUGAAGAGUUCUCCUCGAGUACUAA